CUGGUAUUUGGAAGUGGGACCACUCUCACAGUUGAACCAAACAAUCAAAAAAGUUCUGACCCACAAGUGAUUGUGUUGAAAUCAAAGGAACUGGAAGAAGGUGGCAGCAUGGGGAAAGCAGCUUGUUUGGCAAGGAAUUCCUCUACGAAGAACAUCAGCUUGGAGAUGUCCUCUGAUGAAGUGGUGUAUGAACAGAGUGCACCCGUUUUGACAUCCCAGGGGCUGUACAGUACAAUCAAAGUGGUGAAUGUGACAGGAGGCACAGAGGUCACCUGCAUGGCACAGUUCAGCUCCAGCACCGUUACAGCCAGCGCAGCUCUGCCAGAAAAGGAGGCUGAAAAACCAGCAACGGAGAAGGUUUGCAACACCACAGACACCUCUGCUCAAGAUACCUAUGUGGAGAAAAAGAACAUGCUUUCUGUGGCUGUGUUGGGUUUGAGAGUCCUGCUGGUGAAAACUGUCACCUUCAACACACUUAUGAGCAUCAAGUUGUUUCUUUUCUGA